rnacentral:rRNA from 1 species
GGAGGAUGCAAGCGUUAUCCGGAUUCAUUGGGUUUAAAGGGUGCGCAGGCGGGGCAAUAAGUCAGUGGUGAAAUCCUGCGGCUUAACCGUAGAACUGCCAUUGAUACUGUUGCCCUUGAGUAUAGUUGAGGUGGGCGGAAUAUGUAAUGUAGCGGUGAAAUGCAUAGAUAUUACAUAGAACACCAAUUGCGAAGGCAGCUCACUAAGCUAUCACUGACGCUGAGGCACGAAAGCGUGGGGAGCGAACAGGAUUAGAUACCCUGGUAGUCCCACGCCCGUAAACGAUGAUCACUCGUUGUUGGCAAUAUAUCGUCAGCGACUGAGCGAAAGCAUUAAAGUGAUCCACCUGGGGAGUACGAUCGCAAGAUUG